CUUAUAUUGAUAUGUGUUCCAGUCUUGGCCAUGUAUGGUUUUAUGUCUUUGUUUUGUUUUCUAAGUUGUCUCUUUUUUUGGCUCUCCCACAGCAUACGGAGUUCCUGAGCCAUGGAUCCGCUCCAAGCCACAGCUGUGACCGACACUAAAGCUGUGGCAAUGCUGGAUUCUUUAACCACUGUGCCGACUGGGGAUUGAACCUGCAUCCUGGCACUGCAGAGAUGCUGUCAAUUCUUUGUGCCACAGUGAGAACUCCUGCUUUCUAAAUUGUCUUUAAGCUAUUUGUUAAUUCUAUGGAACCAGACUAUUCAAACUCUCCACCAAAUCUUCAAUCCACCAACAGCAUCAGAUGGAAUUCCUGAGUCCUGCUUCAGCCAUAGAAGAAAGCUCCCUGAGACCAGGGCACUGCUCAGCAAUGCAUGGCCAGUCACAGGAAGAACCACACCUGGGUACCUUCACAUCAUGGAUUUUCCAGGGUCCACACCGUCCGGCUGACACGACGGCUCAUGACAAAUUCGGCCACUCAUAUCCCCAGGAUAAUUCCUGUUGAGGCAGAUGAGCCCCUGAGUCCCUGGAAGAGAAGGACCGAGUGGAGGAGGCACGUCCACAAAGAAGUGUGGUGAAAAGAACGCUGGCUCCACAUUAAAAAGGAUGAAACGGUGCCAUUUGCAGCAACAUGGAUGGACCUAGAAAUGAUCAAGUUUAGUGAAGUAAGCCAGACAAAGACAAAUACUAUAUGCUAUGGCUUAUAUGUGGAGUCUAAAAAAUAAUACGAGUGAACCAGUAUGCAAAACAGAAAUAGACUCACAGAUAUAAAAAACAAACUUAUGUUACCAAAGGGGAAAGGGAAGGAGGAAGAGGGAACUGGGAGCAUGGGAUUCACAGAUACAAACUACUAUACAUAAAACAGAUAAGCGACAGGAUUUACUGCACAGCUCAGAGAACUAUAUUCAAUAUCUUUUAAUAACCUACAAUGGAAAAUCAUCUAAAAUAACAUAUAAAUAACUGAAUCAUUUUUCCGUACACCUGAACUAACACAAUAUUGUAAAACAACUAUAUUUCAGUGAAAGAAAAAAAAAAAGGAAUUCCCUCUGUGGUGCAACAGGAUCUGCAGCAUCCUGGGAGCACUGGGACGCAGAUUCGAUCCCCUGCCCAGCACAGUAGGUUAAGGAUCUGGCGUUGUGGCAGCUGCGGCUUGGGUCAUAACUGCGCCUCGGGUCUGAUUCCUGGCCUGAGAACUCCACAUGCUGUGGGGCAGUCAGACUGCCUUGGCUUCUAUCUCAGCUCCAGUUCCACCCUUACAGGAAGCAUGAUCUUGGGUCCUUAAAUUCACUAUGUUUCCUUUUCUUCAAGGAUAAAAUAAUGAUAAUAUCACUUACCUGC
rnacentral:lncRNA from 1 species